rnacentral:rRNA from 1 species
UGGGGAAUAUUGCACAAUGGGCGCAAGCCUGAUGCAGCCAUGCCGCGUGUGUGAAGAAGGCCUUCGGGUUGUAAAGCACUUUCAGCGGGGAGGAAGGCGUUAAGGUUAAUAACCUUUGCGAUUGACGUUACCCGCAGAAGAAGCACCGGCUAACUCCGUGCCAGCAGCCGCGGUAAUACGGAGGGUGCAAGCGUUAAUCGGAAUUACUGGGCGUAAAGCGCACGCAGGCGGUUUGUUAAGUCAGAUGUGAAAUCCCCGGGCUCAACCUGGGAACUGCAUCUGAUACUGGCAAGCUUGAGUCUCGUAGAGGGGGGUAGAAUUCCAGGUGUAGCGGUGAAAUGCGUAGAGAUCUGGAGGAAUACCGGUGGCGAAGGCGGCCCCCUGGACAAAGACUGACGCUCAGGUGCGAAAGCGUGGGGAGCAAACAGG